AUGUACUUCUCACUCAACUGGCAAGGAUUCCUUUCUUUCCCAGAGUCCCAGUUACAUGUGCCAGAACUCAAUAAUGAGUUGCCCAGUCCCUGUCCACAAAGACGUAAUUCAUGGGAAAAACAGGACUCCAAAGAACGGCCACCUGAAAAGCAGCCAAAGGCUAAUGCCCACAGGCAAAAGAAAAUUUCUUUACUCCAGAUAGAAGACAUGAAGCAGGCGAGGCAUCUGAGGUACCAAUAAAUCAGCACCCACCAUAAUCUUGACUUGAAGAAGAGCUCCCAAUAAACUUGGAAGAAUAAAGAAAAAGAAGGAAAAGAAUGCAUGAAAGGAGGGAGAGGAAAUGAAGAAUGGAAGAGGAAACGAAAAAGACAGAAGGUUAAAAGAAAGAUAAAUAACCCAUCUCCCUAGGAACCUCCUAUAAACUAUUUGCAUCCAUUCCAAAUUCUUAUGUUCAAAUGUAAUCCUCAACGUGAUGAUAUCCAUAAGUAGGAGUCUUCAGAAGGUGGUCAGUUCAGGCUGGAGAGAUGGCUCAGAGGUUAAGAGCACUGACUGCUCUUCCAGAGGACCUGAGUUCAAUUCCCAGCACCCACAUGGCAGCUCACAACUGUCCAGUUCCAGGGGAUCUGAUACCUUCACACCAAUGCACAUAAAAUAAAGUUAAAUAAAUUAUAAAAAAGGUGGUCAGUUCAUGAGCAAUCAAUAAAAUUAGUGUCCUUACAAAAGAGGCUCCAGAGAUUUCCUUCUCUUCUUCUUCCAUGUGGCAUCAUAGCAAGAAGAUGUUAGCUCUCUGCAGACAGUAACCAUGAUAAUGACUUUAUCUUGGAAUUCCCAGCCUUCAGAACUGUGAGCAAUAAAUUUCUGUUGUUUAUAAACAACUCAAUCUACAGUAUUUUGCUACAGUGGCCUGGGUGGAUUAUGGCAGAAUUCUUCAAAUUCAGGCUUAUCAUUCACCAAACACCAGAAAGAAGUUAAAGAUGUAUUCCACCACAACAGCUAAGCAAAGAUGGGCUGGCAGUAUGGAACAGUGGACUAGGAACAAAAUGUCACUACUCCCACCCCUUCCCAAGAGUGAAGUCCCAGGAAGAACCUACCUCUGCCAGUAAUGACUAAAAACAGAUACCAAGGACACAGACUUGUCUACUCCCUCAGGCUAGAGACUAGGACCAACACAGGGAGCCAGGGAGCAGAAUAAGGAGAUGGGUUGGAAGCUUCAGAUGAUUGAUGGGCUUCAAAAUGUGUACUGUCAUUGCAGAGUCACUGGCCAGAUGGGGCUUUGGUGUUGGUGGUGGUAGUUUCUCCUUCCAAAGAAUAAAAGGAACUGGCUACUGCGCCCUCACAAAAUAAAAAAUAAAAAUAAAAAAUAAAAAAAACACAUCUGUCUUGUCCUUCCUGAGCACUUUCUCAUUGUCCGUUUGGCCUGCUUUCCUUAAGGACAGCUCAAAAAUAGUCUCCUGUGAUUUCCUUGGUGAAAUUAUUGAAGUUUCCAGUUUCCGGUGUGAGACUAGGCAUGAAAAAUGUUCCUCUCUGUGUCCCUACUUUCUUCCCUGGCUCUGUGCCUCCAGGUAUACAGAUAUAUUGAUGGAUAUGUUCUAAUUGCUAAAAAAGCAUCCCAUCUGGCUUCCCUAUUAUAUCUAGAAAGGAAUUAAAUGACAAUUCUUCUCAAAGAGUCAGAGAAUUAAACAAGAUAGCUUGUGUGUAGUCAUUAGCAAAAUCCUAGUACAAAAUGUAUUCUAUAAGUCUUAAGGAUUUUUGUCUUUUUAUUUUGACUUGGGGUCUGGUAUAGCCUUCUGACCUACCUGACUCCACAUCACUAGUAUUAAGAUUAUGGUCAUGUGUUACCAUGUCUACUUUAGCCAUGACAAUUCUGGAGAUUAAACUGGGGGCUUUGUACGUGCUAGGCAAGCAUUCUACCGGUUGAGCUAUAGUCUCAAAUCCAUGUUGUUGUUCCUUUUUAAGAUUUUUACAGUGCUAUGUUACUCUUCUACUCAUUUAUUCAUGCAAAAAUAUUUUAGUGCUUAUUUUAUUAUUUUAUUAUAAAGUAUGAGACACUUGGAGCGGGGGGGGGGGGGGGGGGAGUAGAAAGCAGCACCAACACCACCUGUAAAUAUUCUCUAUUCUUCAGGAGUUUACACCAUUGGCUACAAAACGUACAUGUGGGUGAGGCUGUUAGAAACCCUGGCAAGGCAUGAAACAUCCAAAUGAAUGGAUGAGAAUAAAAGGGUAUGACUGAUAUAGUCAAAUCGAACAUGGCCACAUGCCACUUAUUUUGAUCUCUGAAGGAUAGCCAAGAUUCGUGAGGGCAAGGGACAUUGCACACUCUGGCAGCGGCAUAAGCACAGACCUAAAAUCCCAAAGGACUGUGAGAAGGCUAACUAGUAGGAGAUCCUAGGAAAUGGCAGUGGAAAGCACAGCCAAAAAUAUCCAAACUACAUCACAGUUUAUGAGUAAUGGGAACACAGAAUACAGAACUGAGCUUCUAAUAUCUGGGGACAGAGAGAACAUGGUGUCCAUGGAGAGAGAAGGGGGUUGUUUGUAAGGAAUAUUUGAAGGCAAGAAUCACCAGUACAGAGGAAUGGGAAACAACAAUAAACAACAGCAGGUAAAGAAAAAAUUAUCCAUUACGAAGUUAAGAAAAAUGUGGCAGUUUAUGCCUAUAAUCCCAGCUGAGACGGAAGAAUUGCCAAAUCCCAGUAGCUCGAAAACAGCCUGGGCUACAUUGCAAGAUCCCAUCUUUAAAAAGUACUAACAACCUGCCUAGAACAUGCUCUAUAAGUUCAUUUCUUCCAAUAACUUCUGG
ensembl:lincRNA